AUUGAACGCUGGCGGCAUGCUUUACACAUGCAAGUCGAACGGUAACAGGGUGCUUGCACCGCUGACGAGUGGCGAACGGGUGAGUAAUGCGUCGGAACGUGCCGAGUAGUGGGGGAUAACGCAGCGAAAGUUGUGCUAAUACCGCAUACGUACUGAGGUAGAAAGUGGGGGACCUUCGGGCCUCACGCUAUUCGAGCGGCCGACGUCUGAUUAGCUAGUAGGUGAGGUAAAGGUUCACCUAGGCGACGAUCAGUAGCGGGUCUGAGAGGAUGAUCCGCCACACUGGGACUGAGGCACGGCCCAGACUCCUACGGGAGGCAGCAGUGGGGAAUUUUGGACAAUGGGCGAAAGCCUGAUCCAGCCAUGCCGCGUGUCUGAAGAAGGCCUUCGGGUUGUAAAGGACUUUUGUCGGGGAGGAAAUCCCCAGCGUUAAUACCGCUGGGGGAUGACAGUACCUGAAGAAUAAGCACCGGCUAACUACGUGCCAGCCGCCACAGUAACAC
rnacentral:rRNA from 1 species